rnacentral:rRNA from 1 species
AUGGGAAGUGAAAUACUACAAGCUUUGGGUGGAGUGGAAGGAAAAUUAAAAGGAUUGAAGCUCUCAGAGGCAGAGAAGAAAGUGAUUAAAAUCGGAAAGAAGAGCGGAAAUCACUUGAGAGUGGGAAAGCUCCAAGCAGUGGGGAAGCUUUUGUCGGACAGACCGGCGAAAUCUGAACAUUUGGGGAGGACAUUAGCAGGAGUUUGGUGCCCCUUCUAUGGAUUGGAGUGCAAGGAUCUUGGUAAGAAUCGUUUCUUGUUUUGUUUUCGUGAAGAGAAGGGAAAAAUGAAGGCAGUAGAAAAUGGACCAUGGUUUUUCAAUAAAAGCUUGCUGGUGAUGGAAGAUUUUGCGCCCAAUAAAACCAUAGAUGAAUAUCAAUUUAAGACCAUACCGAUAUGGGUAAGGGUGUAUGGUAUUUCGAUGGGGAUGAUGGAUAGAGAAACAGGGGUUUUAAUUGGGGAACAGAUCGGUGAAGUCUUGGAUAUGGAGGUGGAUGAUAAUGGUUUUGCAUUUGGGCAAUUUAUGAGGAUCAAAGUAAGAAUGGACAUCACUAUACCACUGAUGAGAAGGAUCACUAUUGAGGGUGAGGAGGAAGAUGAGCAGUACCAGAAGAAGGGAUUAAUGGGAGAAGGGUGUAAUGAAGAAAAGAAUGAGGAGGAAGAGCAGAAGAAAGUGGUUUCAUUUGAAUACGAACAUUUACCAGACUUCUGCUACAAUUGUGGGAUCAUUGGUCACAGUGAAAAAAAUUGCACAACGAAAACAGAACAUGAAGGUAGUCGACAGUAUGGUCCAUGGUUGCGUGCAGCAACCUAUAAAGGGAGUUCCAGUGAUGAGAAGAGCAGAGAAUCAAGUGAGAAAGGUGAUUUCUGUAAAGGUAACAACGUGGGAAGCAAGGGCAGUAGGCAGGGAAGGGUUGGUCCAUCAUGGAAAGAGAUUCCACCAAGCGGGCGAGCUGACAACAGAAAAAAAGAGAUGAGAAGGAAAUUACAAGCCCCUUAA